AUGAUGCAGAAACGAAGUGAGAUUCGCCCCCAAGGCUGCGCUUGGCUAAAUGCCCCAGCUGCUACGACGCCGAUGCCCCAUUAUCCACCACCCAACGGACGCACCAACAACACCAUCUUAUUUCUGUGGCCUUGGACGCGUCAGUUGCCGGACAGUCUGUGCGCAAUGCAGGGUGUGAGUUGUCCAUCGAUCGUCAUGCUCCCCACGCUCAAGGAACAAAAAAAAAAGUGCCCAUAUCCAGUGUAUCAGUUGGGCCUCCCGUCCACGUCCAGCUUAUUUUCUUUCCAGUCGUCUCCAGCUGAUUUUGGUACUCUUCCAGGUUUUUUCCCUAGAAGCCGGCUCUUCAACGAGCCUACGCAAUAA
rnacentral:rRNA from 1 species